rnacentral:rRNA from 1 species
GGGAUCAUUACAGAGUUGCAAAACUCCCUAAACCAUUGUGAACGUUACCUAAACCGUUGCUUCGGCGGGCGGCCCCGGGGUUCUCCCCGGGCGCCCCUGGGCCCCAUCGCGGGCGCCCGCCGGAGGUCACCAAACUCUUGAUACUUUAUGGCCUCUCUGAGUCUUCUGUACUGAAUAAGUCAAAACUUUCAACAACGGAUCUCUUGGUUCUGGCAUCGAUGAAGAACGCAGCGAAAUGCGAUAAGUAAUGUGAAUUGCAGAAUUCAGUGAAUCAUCGAAUCUUUGAACGCACAUUGCGCCCGCCAGUAUUCUGGCGGGCAUGCCUGUUCGAGCGUCAUUUCAACCAUCAAGCCCCCGGCUUGUGUUGGGGACCUGCGGCUGCCGCAGGCCCUGAAAAGCAGUGGCGGGCUCGCUGUCACACCGAGCGUAGUAGCAUACAUCUCGCUCUGGCUGCUGCGGGUUCCGGCCGUUAAUCCCCUUCAUAACCC